GAUGAAUUGUCUGUUUGACAAUAUGUUUAAUAUUUUACCAAAUGGGAAAGAUAAGGGCCCUUAUGAAGAGCCCUAAUGUCUAACCUGGGUGUCUGUAGAAUACAGAUUUUUGAACUUGGUGUGUCUUUUUGAAACCUGAUAAUGAGGUUGGGUUGACAAGGACUCUAGAGCAGAUUUAUGCAUCAGAUGUUGGUAACCAUGCUUCGUGAGCAUUCCUGUGCUAAACUUCUAUUUUCAGGGGAUGGGAUGGUUUCUCAUUUAAUUUCAAAAUGUUUGAAGUAUCUAAGAAUAUGUCUGUGUAUUUGCAACUCUAUCUAUUUUUUAAGUAUGAUAUAAUUCCUUUUGUUUAAGUUACAGAGCUAUAAUAAACAAAAAAGCCCUCAACUGGUGUCUAUGCUACCAUUCCAAGAGCACAAUAUUUGCUUUAUUAGAGUUUGAUUUUUCCUAGUGAGUGAAUUCCUCCCUGGGGAAAAAUGAGCACUUUAAAAGGAGCACUUUGUGUUUUAGAUUGCCAAAUGAUCUUUGUGUACAGUUAGAAUCUGCUAAUGCGCACAGAAAGAUGUUAAUGCACUUUCUGAAUUGCCUAACUUCAGGUGUAUCUAGAAUGGAAAGAAAAGUACGUGAUAUAGAUUAUGUAUAUAUAGAUAAAUUGGAGACCCAGAUUUCUUCAGAGAUUGCUCUUGUACAUAGAUCACAGUAAUAAUGGAUGGACGAUACUUCCUUAUUCUAAUUGUUAUGUUACUCAGAGUUAGCAUAGAUGUUCUGACAGUGUUAUAGGGCACAUGUGAAUAAGAGCAAAUCAGUUUUGAUACUGAAAUUAAGAAACGCAAAUGCCAAGACCAGAACGCAGUCCUUUAAAAAAAAAUCCUAAAAGAUGUACAUAGGGUGACCAGUUCUGGUAGUUGGUCAUGAUGCAUGGGGUGUUUAUAAAUAAGUAUCCUUUAAUGAACCUAGUAUAAAGUAUGUAUUAUAUACUUACAUGAUAGCUCAGUGUUGUAAAAGGACUACAGAAAUAGGUAAAUAAUGUUUAUUUUGGAGGAAUAAAUAUACAUUUUCACUCAAUUAAGCUUAUUUAAAAUCAUACCGGAUUCUUAAUUUUGAGUUUAUUCAUUUUUUCUAUACAGUUUAACUUUAAAUACCAAAAGUAUCAUAAUUUUAGCCAUUUAAAUUUCAAUAAAUACAUAUUAUCUAUACCCCAAUGAUUCAAAUGUAUGAAUUGCCAAGAUCAUUGUAAUGUCAUGUGUAGCUAAUAAAAAAAAAAAAAAACAUUAUCAAAGGCUUUAGUGAAGAAAUCUAAAGGGAAGGAAUGUCAAAGACAAUCAGAAGAUAGGGAAGUAAGAACCUUUUGGAAAACCAUCAAAAUUUCUUAAAGACUUUAAAAAUGUCUAUGUAUAGAGCCAUAUCAAACAUGUAUUUUGAACCCUUUGAGCUUGAUAUAUUAGUAAGUUAUUUUGAAAUAUAGUAAAGAUAUUUACAGAAAACUUUCUUGCCCAUCUAUUUUACAUUGACAGUUUAUGACCCUAACCUUCAAAGUAUAUUUUAUCAACACUUAGAGUGUUUUUUUCAGUUUAUAAAUUUCUGAUCAAUAUAUAAUGUCCUCCCGAGAAAACAAUAUAUAAUCUGUAAAAAAUUUUAGUAACUUCUCACCUGGUACAGUUGCAAACUGAUAACUGAAAACUUGCUUCAGAUCUUCUCUGAAACACUUAACAAUAUCCUUGCAUCACAUAACAGUGUACAGGGUAAUAAGUAUUAUUUCCAAAUAUCAGACUUUUCAGUCUUUAUAAGAAUUUUUUUAAAUUAUUGUUCUUACAGCUGUAGUCCUAUAGUUCCCAGUGACAUCUCUGCAGAUUCAUUCAAGGAGAUGCUCUAGACUUUGACUAAUGAAACCAGUGUGGAAGACAAAGUGCUACCUAACUGGUAACAUAUCUCAGUGUGCGACAAAUCUGAUUACUAUGACUUAAGCUCUAUGUAAGGAAAAAGGAUGUUAUUAAGUGCUAAAGAAAAUAACCAAAUAUAGCAUUUUUAGUACAUAUGCAAACUCAAAAUUUAUCAUAUAUUUCUCUUUUCUGUUGGCAGAAAUUUAAGAAUUUUAAAGCUGCUGAUUUAUACCUAUGCGUUGUCAUAACAUUCUAGCUUUUAAAUAGUUAUGUUGUGUUUCUGUCCUAGGUUUGAAUACAUUUCCUUCUCAUAAAGCUCUAACCCUUAUUGCUGUAUUCAGAUGAUGUGAUACACAAUGCUUACAAAUGGAAAUGUAUGUCCACAGAUUCACAUUUAGAAUACAGUGUGAAAGAUCAAGAACUUAGAAUAACAAAUUUGAUUUCAAGUUAGAUUUCUUUUUAGAGAGGAGGGGUACCAGAAAUUGAACCCAGGGGACUUACCCACUGAGCCAUAGCUCCAGCCCUUUUCAUUUUUUAUUUUGAGACAGGGUCUCACUAAGUUGCUGAGGCUGGCUUUGAACUUGGGAUCCUCCUGCCUCAGCCUUCUGAGUUGCUGGGAUUACAGGCUUGUGCCACCAAGCCUGGCUCAAAUUACAUUUCUGACUUCUGUGAUGGUGAGCAAAUCAUUUUUUCUGUCUGAGUCUGUUUUCUCAUCUGCAAAUGAAGAAUAUUAGUUUACAGGUUGGCAAUGAUUAAAUAAAAUAAAAUUAAAUAAAAAGAAUAGUGUUACAUGUAAUAUUUUAUCAAAGUUUUUCAGCUCAAUAGUAAUUGCUACUUUUCACGAAUAUCUGUGGGUUUUUGUUUGUUUGUUUAAAACUAAAACAGUGUUACCUUGAAUAUUUGCAAAACAUACUUUGGAAAUUUAACUAAUUAAUUAUCCAGAAAAAUAUAACCAAGCUUAUUUUAAGAUGGAAGAUUAUAACAAUACUAUUGUUUUGUUCAAUAAUAUGAUUCAAAACCACUAUUUUAAUUUUAACAAUUUCUCACCUUAUCUGUAAUCUAGAAAAAUUUCUUCAGUCACACAUAUACACAGAUAUAUGUGUGUGUGUGUGUGUGUGUGUAUAUAUAUAUAUAUAUAUGUAUAUACACAUACAUA
rnacentral:lncRNA from 1 species